GGAUGUGAGGGUGAUGUGGCCGGGGCAUCUGUCACCCCACUGAUCGCCAGGAUUGAUUCGGCAGAUCUGGCUGGCUAGGGGGGUGCCCCCUUUCUCUCUCACUGCUCCAGCUGCAUCCUCUCAAAAACUGUCCUCUUGGUGCAAGAGGACGACCACGGCCAAUAGGGAAGGACCAUUUCCUCAGAAAAAGGGGUACAAGUAUCUGUACUCCCCUGCUGGAACCUCCAAACAAGCUCUCAAAGUGAACUACCACUGGAUUUUUCCUAUACGUGAAUCAAUAAAUUUCUCCUCAUUUCUUUUGGAGAGGUCUCUAAG
ensembl:misc_RNA 7SK 7SK RNA